GCAAUCGCUGCGAUUAGCAGAGGAAAGUCCGGGCUCCAUAGAGCAUAGUGCCAGGUAACGCCUGGGCAGUGAGAACUGACGGCCAGUGCCACAGAAAAUAAACCGCCUUCGGGUAAGGGUGAAAAGGUGCGGUAAGAGCGCACCACAAGUUUGGUAACAAGCUUGGUAGGGUAAACCCCACUUGGAGCAAGACCAAGCAAGAUUCGCUAAGCGUUGCUCGCGUGAUGAAUCUGGGUAGGUUGCUUGAAGAGCACGGUGACGUGCCCUCCAGAUAGAUGAUUGUACUCGACAGAACCCGGCUUAUCGAUUAGCUCA
rnacentral:RNase_P_RNA from 1 species